rnacentral:rRNA from 1 species
UACGGAGGAUGCGAGCGUUAUCCGGAUUUAUUGGGUUUAAAGGGUGCGUAGGCGGCCAUUUAAGUCAGCGGUGAAAUUUUGCAGCUUAACUGUAACAGUGCCGUUGAUACUGUUUGGCUAGGAUUUGGUUGGAGUGUGCGGAAUGUGUGGUGUAGCGGUGAAAUGCUUAGAUAUCACACAGAACACCGAUUGCGAAGGCAGCACACUAAGUCAUUAUUGACGCUGAGGCACGAAAGUGUGGGGAUCAAACAGGA